rnacentral:rRNA from 1 species
GAUGAACGCUGGCGGCGUGCCUAAUACAUGCAAGUCGAGCGAACAGACGAGGAGCUUGCUCCUCUGACGUUAGCGGCGGACGGGUGAGUAACACGUGGAUAACCUACCUAUAAGACUGGGAUAACUUCGGGAAACCGGAGCUAAUACCGGAUAAUAUAUUGAACCGCAUGGUUCAAUAGUGAAAGACGGUUUUGCUGUCACUUAUAGAUGGAUCCGCGCCGCAUUAGCUAGUUGGUAAGGUAACGGCUUACCAAGGCGACGAUGCGUAGCCGACCUGAGAGGGUGAUCGCCCACACUGGAACUGAGGCACGGUCCAGACUCCUACGGGGGGCAGCAGUAGGGAAUCUUCCGCAAUGGGCGAAAGCCUGACGGAGCAACGCCGCGUGAGUGAUGAAGGUCUUCGGAUCGUAAAACUCUGUUAUUAGGGAAGAACAAAUGUGUAAGUAACUAUGCACGUCUUGACGGUACCUAAUCAGAAAGCCACGGCUAACUACGUG